rnacentral:rRNA from 1 species
ACGAACGCUGGCGGCGUGCCUCAUCCAUGCAAGUUGAGCGCUGAAGGUUGGUACUUGUACCAACUGGAUGAGCAGCGAACGGGUGAGUAACGCGUGGGGAAUCUGCCUUUGAGCGGGGGACAACAUUUGGAAACGAAUGCUAAUACCGCAUAAAAACUUUAAACACAAGUUUUAAGUUUGAAAGAUGCAAUUGCAUCACUCAAAGAUGAUCCCGCGUUGUAUUAGCUAGUUGGUGAGGUAAAGGCUCACCAAGGCGAUGAUACAUAGCCGACCUGAGAGGGUGAUCGGCCACAUUGGGACUGAGACACGGCCCAAACUCCUACGGGAGGCAGCAGUAGGGAAUCUUCGGCAAUGGACGAAAGUCUGACCGAGCAACGCCGCGUGAGUGAAGAAGGGUAUCGGAUCGUAAAACUCUGUUGGUAGAGAAGAACGUUGGUGAGAGUGGAAAGCUCAUCAAGUGACGGUAACUACCCAGAAAGGGACGGCUAACUACGUG